CCUACGGGUGGCAGCAGUGGGGAAUAUUGGACAAUGGGCGAAAGCCUGAUCCAGCCAUGCCGCGUGUGUGAAGAAGGCCUUCGGGUUGUAAAGCACUUUCAGUGGGGAAGAAAGCCUUGGGGCUAAUACCCUCGAGGAAGGACAUCACCCACAGAAGAAGCACCGGCUAACUCCGUGCCAGCAGCCGCGGUAAUACGGAGGGUGCGAGCGUUAAUCGGAAUUACUGGGCGUAAAGCGCGCGUAGGCGGUCUGAUAAGCCGGUUGUGAAAGCCCCGGGCUCAACCUGGGAACGACAUCCGGAACUGUCAGGCUAGAGUGCAGGAGAGGAAGGUAGAAUUCCCGGUGUAGCGGUGAAAUGCGUAGAGAUCGGGAGGAAUACCAGUGGCGAAGGCGGCCUUCUGGACUGACACUGACGCUGAGGUGCGAAAGCGUGGGUAGCAAACAGGAUUAGAUACCCUGGUAGUC
rnacentral:rRNA from 1 species